rnacentral:rRNA from 1 species
GACGGGGGAUGCGAGCGUUAUCCGGAAUGAUUGGGCGUAAAGGGUCCGCAGGUGGCCCGGUCAGUCCGCUGUCAAAGCCUGGGGCUCAACCCUGGAGAGGCGGCGGAGACCACCGGGCUUGAGUCCGGUAGGGGCAGAGGGAAUUCCCGGUGGAGCGGUGAAAUGCGUAGAGAUCGGGAGGAACACCAGUGGCGAAGGCGAGUCUCUGGGAUGAUGCUGACGCUGAGGCGCGAAAGCCAGGGGAGCAAACGGG